AUUGAACGCUGGCGGUAGGCCUAACACAUGCAAGUCGAACGAGUGGCGGACGGGUGAGUAAUACCUGGGAAUCUGCCCUGUCGAGGGGGAUAACUACUGGAAACUUACGCUAAUACCGCAUACGAUCGAAUGAGCCCAGGUGGGAUUAGCUAGUUGGCGGGGUAAAGGCUCACCUAGGCGACGAUCCCUAGCUGGUCUGAGAGGAUGAUCAGCCACACUGGAACUGAGACACGGUCCAGACUCCUACGGGAGGCAGCAGUGGGGAAUAUUGGACAAUGGGCGCAAGCCUGAUCCAGCCAUACCGCGUGGGUGAAGAAGGCCUUCGGGUUGUAAAGUCCUUUUGUUGGGAAAGCGGUACCCAAAGAAGAAGCACCGGCUAACUCCGUGCCAGCAGCCGCGGUAAUUC
rnacentral:rRNA from 1 species